rnacentral:rRNA from 1 species
GGAUCAAUACGUCUGUCGUGCCUUUGGUACGUACGGGUGUAAUUGGUUUCUACCUUCUGAGGAUCCUUGAUGUCAUUAAUUUGGUGUCUUGGGGAAUCAGGACUGUUACCUUGAAAAAAUUAGAGUGUUUAAAGCAGGCAUACGCUUGAAUACAUUAGCAUGGAAUAACGGAAUAGGACU